CCUCAACUCCCUCACUUUUCUCCCUUGUCUUCCAACACUGCGUCAACUCCCCCCCCCCCAUUCUCGCCAUCUAAUCAUUCAGUCAGAAAACCUCUCUCUCCCUCCAUUCCCACCAUCUAAUCAUUCAGUCAGAGCUCCUCUCUCUCCCCCAUUCCCCAAUCUAAUCAUUCAGUCAGAGCUCCUCUCUCUCCCCCAUUCCCCAACCUAAUCAUUCAGUCAGAGCUCCUCUCUCUCCCCCAUUCCCCACAUCUAAUCAUUCAGUCAGAGCUCCUCUCUCUCCCCCAUAUCUAAUCAUUCAGUCAGAGCUCCUCUCUCCCCCCAGUCCCCCUAUCUAAUCAUUCAGUCAGAGUUCCUCUCCCCCAGUCCCCCUAUCUAAUCAUUCAGUCAGAGUCCCUCUCCCUCCAGUCCCCCUAUCUAAUCAUUCAGGCAGAGCUCCUCUCUCCCCCCAUUCCCCCUAUCUAAUCAUUCAGUCAGAGUCCUCUCACCCCAGUCCCCCUAUCUAAUCAUUCAGUCAGAGCUCCUCUCCCCCAGUCCCUCUAUCUAAUCAUUCAGUCAGAGCUCCUCUCUCUCCCCCAUUCCCCACAUCUAAUCAUUCAGUCAGAGCUCCUCUCUCUCCCCAUUCCCCCAUCUAAUCAUUCAGUCAGAGAUCCUCUCUCUCUCCCCAUUCCCCCAUCUAAUCAUUCAGUCAGAGCUCCUCUCUCUCCCCCAUUCCCCACAUCUAAUCAUUCAGUCAGAGCUCCUCUCUCUCCCCAUUCCCCAUCUAAUCAUUCAGUCAGAGCUCCUCUCUCUCCCCAUUCCCCCAUCUAAUCAUUCAGUCAGAGAUCCUCUCUCUCUCCACCCAUUCCCCCAUCUAAUCAUUCAGUCAGAGCUCCUCUCUCUCCACCCAUUCCCCACAUCUAGUCAUUCAGUCAGAGCUCCUCUCUCUCCACCCAUUCCCCACAUCUAAUCAUUCAGUCAGAGCUCCUCUCUCUCCACCCAUUCCCCACAUCUAAUCAUUCAGUCAGAGCUCCUCUCUCUCCACCCAGUCCCCACAUCUAAUAAUACAGUCAGAGCUCCUCUCUCUCCCUCCAUUCCCCACAUCUAAUCAUUCAGUCAGAGCUCCUCUCUCUCCCCCAUAUCUAAUCAUUCAGUCAGAGCUCCUCUCUCUCCCCCCAUCCCCCUAUCUAAUCAUUCAGUCAGAGUUCCUCUCCCCCAGUCCCCCUAUCUAAUCAUUCAGGCAGAGCUCCUCUCUCCCCCCCAUUCCCCCUAUCUAAUCAUUCAGUCAGAGUCCUCUCACCCCAGUCCCCCUAUCUAAUCAUUCAGUCAGAGUUCCUCUCCCCCAGUCCCUCUAUCUAAUCAUUCAGUCAGAACUCCUCUCUCUCCCCCAGUCCCCUUAUCUAAUCAUUCAGUCAGAGCUCCUCUCCCCCAUUCCCCCAUCUAAUCAUUCAGUCAGAGCUCCUCUCUCUCCCCCAUUCCCCACAUCUAAUCAUUCAGUCAGAGCUCCUCUCCCCCAUUCCCCCCAUCUAAUCAUUCAGUCAGAGCUCCUCUCUCUCCCCC
ensembl:lncRNA